CGGAAGGCGCGACGGGUACGUCCGGGGUAGGAGUGAAAUCCUGUAAUCCUGGACGGACCGCCGAUGGCGAAAGCACGUCGCGAAAACGGAUCCGACAGUGAGGGACGAAAGCUAGGGUCUCGAACCGGAUUAGAUACCCGGGUAGUCCUAGCCGUAAAACUGCCUGCUAGGUGUGGCUCCCACUACGAGUGGGUGCUGUGCCGUAGGGAAGCCGCUAAGCAGGCCGCCUGGGAAUACGUCCGCAAGGAUGAAACUUAAAGGAAUUGGCGGGGAGCACUACAACCGGAGGAGCCUGCGGUUUAUUG
rnacentral:rRNA from 1 species